rnacentral:rRNA from 1 species
CUACGGGGCGCAGCAGGUGCGAAAAUUCCGCAAUGCGUGCAAGCGCGACGGAGUGACCCCCAGUGCCGAUGGUCUAACGAUCGUCGGCUUUUCUGGAGUGUAAAAAGCUCUGGGUAAUAAGGGCCGGGUAAGACUGGUGCCAGCCGCCGCGGUAACACCAGCGGCUCAAGUGGUAGUCGAUUUUAUUGGGUCUAAAGCGUCCGUAGCCGGAUCGUCAAGUCCCUUGUGAAAUCGGGCGGCUUAACCGCUCGGCUUGCAAGAGAAACUGACGUUCUUGGGGUCGGCAGGCGCCGAGGGUACUCCGGAGGUAGCGGUGAAAUGCUAUAAUCUUCGGGGGACCGCCGGUGGCGAAAGCGCUCGGCGGGGCCGAACCCGACGGUGAGGGACGAAGGCCAGGGGAGCGAACCGGAUUUGAUACCCGGGUAGUCCUGGCUGUAAAGUAUGUGGGCCAGGUGCCAGACGUUCCUCGAGAGCGCUUGGUGCCGAAGGGAAGCCGUUAAGCCCACCACCUGGGGAGUACGGUCGCAAGACUGAAACUUAAAGAAAUUGGCGGGGGAGCACCACAAGGGGUGGAGCCUGCGGUUUAAUUGGAUUCAACGCCGGACAUCUCACCGGGGGCGACGGCAGAGUGAAGGCCAAGUUGACGACUUUGCCGGACUCGCCGAGAGGUGGUGCAUGGCCGCCGUCAGCUCGUAUCGUGAGACGCCCUGUCAAGUCAGGUAACGAGCGAGACCCUUAUCCUUAGUUGCCAGCGGAUCCCUCUGGGAUGCCGGGCACUCUAAGGAGACCGCUGUCGAUAAGGCAGAGGAAGGAGAGGGCGACGGUAGGUCCGUAUGCCCCGAAUCCCCCGGGCAACACGCGGGCUACAAUGCGCGGGACAGAGGGCUGCGACCCCGAGAGGGGAAGCCGAUCCCUAAACCUGCGCCUAGUUCGGAUCGAGGGCUGCAACUCGCCCUCAUGAAGCUGGAUUAGGUAGUAAUCGCGUCUCAAAAAGGCGCGGUGAAUAUGCCCCUGCUCCUUGCACACACCGCCCGUCAAACCAUCUUAGUUGGGGGUGGGUGAGG